rnacentral:misc_RNA from 1 species
UUUUUUUCCUUAAAAGUAUCACAUGGUUUCAUUUAGGAUAUACACUAGAAUGCAGCUGAAAGUGAUAGCUUACAAGCCAAAUACAUGAUUAACAAACCAGAUUUACAUCCAAACUCCCAAUGAAUUACAUGGGUACUCAAUGGUGGAAAAGCUUGAAAUACAGAAUAAUAAUUAUUGCCAAGAUAAGGGCUCCAAUCACAGAGCCCAUAAUCCACUUGUUUCGGCUAAUUCUUCUAGACAUCGAAGUCAAGAUCUUCUUGCUCUUGUCAAUGGCAUCAUCCACACCGUGAAGCUUAUUAUGUGAAUGUAGCAGUGUUUCACGCUGUUGGUGCAAAUCCCCUAGAAUUGACACACCAAGGUCUUCAGUCUCUAGGGCAAUCCUUCUGCUCUCCCUGAUCCUGUCACUUGACUGAUCAAGUCUCUCUGUUGACAUUGCUAAGCGUUCCCUUUGACUUGCAGAAGCUGCAUGUGGAUCCAUCAUUCCAGACUCUAAAUCAUGGGCAGCUUGAUUAGCACUAGUCAAGGUCAGUUUAUUCACUUCUUUCUUCAACUUAUUCAGGUCUGAUUUGUAUUCCCUCAGUUUAGCAAGUAAUGUUGCUUUUAAACUCGGUUGCAAACUUCUUGCCUCGAGAUCCAUUUUCCGUAUCAACACAUCUGCAUCAUCCAAUCCCACUUUGAGUUCGGAAAUCUGUUGCUUUUUCGGCUCUCCGUCAGCCAAAAGAGCAGCAGAAUUGCAUUUCCGAGACAAAUUGACAGAAAGUUCACAGUACUGCCUCUCAUAUCCCUCAAAUACUUCACUCAUCUUCCCUCAAAAUAUCCGCCCAAACAAAAUUCAACCAGUAAUGAAAUCGUACGGCGUACGUAUGAUCGGAGACGGCGAUAUACGUUGAGUCACUGACGAGCUAAAACUGAGUGGACUCGGAUCAGAG